rnacentral:lncRNA from 1 species
AGUCAGCCUUCCCACCUGAAGAUCAACAUGCCUGGCACUCUAGCACUUGAGGAUAGCUGAAUGAAAGUGGUCUGUGUCUUGUCUUAGACAUAUCUCUCAUUUUUCAUUUUGUUGCUAUUUCUCUUUGCUCUCCUAGAUGUGGCUCUUCUUUCACGCUUUAUUUCAUGUCUCCUUUUUGGGUCACAUGCUGUGUGCUUUUUGUCCUUUUCUUGUUCUGUCUACCUCUCCUUUCUCUGCCUACCUCUCUUUUCUCUUUGUGAACUGUGAUUAUUUGUUACCCCUUCCCCUUCUCGUUCGUUUUAAAUUUCACCUUUUUUCUGAGUCUGGCCUCCUUUCUGCUGUUUCUACUUUUUAUCUCACAUUUCUCAUUUCUGCAUUUCCUUUCUGCCUCUCUUGGGCUAUUCUCUCUCUCCUCCCCUGCGUGCCUCAGCAUCUCUUGCUGUUUGUGAUUUUCUAUUUCAGUAUUAAUCUCUGUUGGCUUGUAUUUGUUCUCUGCUUCUUCCCUUUCUACUCACCUUUGAGUAUUUCAGCCUCUUCAUGAAUCUAUCUCCCUCUCUUUGAUUUCAUGUAAUCUCUCCUUAAAUAUUUCUUUGCAUAUGUGGGCAAGUGUACGUGUGUGUGUGUCAUGUGUGGCAGAGGGGCUUCCUAACCCCUGCCUGAUAGGUGCAGAACGUCGGCUAUCAGAGCAAGCAUUGUGGAGCGGUUCCUUAUGCCAGGCUGCCAUGUGAGAUGAUCCAAGACCAAAACAAGGCCCUAGACUGCAGUAAAACCCAGAACUCAAGUAGGGCAGAAGGUGGAAGGCUCAUAUGGAUAGAAGGCCCAAAGUAUAAGACAGAUGGUUUGAGACUUGAGACCCGAGGACUAAGAUGGAAAGCCCAUGUUCCAAGAUAGAUAGAAGCCUCAGGCCUGAAACCAACAAAAGCCUCAAGAGCCAAGAAAACAGAGGGUGGCCUGAAUUGGACCGAAGGCCUGAGUUGGAUGGAAGUCUCAAGGCUUGAGUUAGAAGUCUUAAGACCUGGGACAGGACACAUGGAAGGCCUAAGAACUGAGACUUGUGACACAAGGCCAACGACCUAAGAUUAGCCCAGGGUUGUAGCUGGAAGACCUACAACCCAAGGAUGGAAGGCCCCUGUCACAAAGCCUACCUAGAUGGAUAGAGGACCCAAGCGAAAAAGGUAUCUCAAGACUAACGGCCGGAAUCUGGAGGCCCAUGACCCAGAACCCAGGAAGGAUAGAAGCUUGAAGACCUGGGGAAAUCCCAAGAUGAGAACCCUAAACCCUACCUCUUUUCUAUUGUUUACACUUCUUACUCUUAGAUAUUUCCAGUUCUCCUGUUUAUCUUUAAGCCUGAUUCUUUUGAGAUGUACUUUUUGAUGUUGCCGGUUACCUUUAGAUUGACAGUAUUAUGCCUGGGCCAGUCUUGAGCCAGCUUUAAAUCACAGCUUUUACCUAUUUGUUAGGCUAUAGUGUUUUGUAAACUUCUGUUUCUAUUCACAUCUUCUCCACUUGAGAGAGACACCAAAAUCCAGUCAGUAUCUAAUCUGGCUUUUGUUAACUUCCCUCAGGAGCAGACAUUCAUAUAGGUGAUACUGUAUUUCAGUCCUUUCUUUUGACCCCAGAAGCCCUAGACUGAGAAGAUAAAAUGGUCAGGUUGUUGGGGAAAAAAAAGUGCCAGGCUCUCUAGAGAAAAAUGUGAAGAGAUGCUCCAGGCCAAUGAGAAGAAUUAGACAAGAAAUACACAGAUGUGCCAGACUUCUGAGAAGCACCUGCCAGCAACAGCUUCCUUCUUUGAGCUUAGGUGAGCAGGAUUCUGGGGUUUGGGAUUUCUAGUGAUGGUUAUGGAAAGGGUGACUGUGCCUGGGACAAAGCGAGGUCCCAAGGGGACAGCCUGAACUCCCUGCUCAUAGUAGUGGCCAAAUAAUUUGGUGGACUGUGCCAACGCUACUCCUGGGUUUAAUACCCAUCUCUAGGCUUAAAGAUGAGAGAACCUGGGACUGUUGAGCAUGUUUAAUACUUUCCUUGAUUUUUUUCUUCCUGUUUAUGUGGGAAGUUGAUUUAAAUGACUGAUAAUGUGUAUGAAAGCACUGUAAAACAUAAGAGAAAAACCAAUUAGUGUAUUGGCAAUCAUGCAGUUAACAUUUGAAAGUGCAGUGUAAAUUGUGAAGCAUUAUGUAAAUCAGGGGUCCACAGUUUUUCUGUAAGGGGUCAAAUCAUAAAUACUUUAGACUGUGGGCCAUAUGGUUUCUGUUACAUAUUUGUUUUUUAAACAACGUUUUUAUAAGGUCAAAAUCAUUCUUAGUUUUUGAGCCAAUUGGAUUUGGCCUGCUGUUCAUAGCUUACCACCCCCUGAUGUAUUAUUUGUUAUUCAGAGAAAAUUUCUGAAUACUACUAGUUUCCUUUUCUGUGCCUGUCCCUGUGCUAGGCACUAAAAAUGCAAUGAUUAUUGAUAUCUAGGUGACCUGAAAAAAAAUAGUGAAUGUGCUUUGUAAACUGUAAAGCACUUGUAUUCUACUGUGAUAAGCGUUGUGGAUACAAAGAAAGGAGCAAGCAUAAAAAAGUGCUCUUUCAAAAGGAUAUAGUACUAUGCAGACACAAGGAAUUGUUUGAUAAAUGAAUAAAUUAUAUGUAUAUUUGAGGCCAAUUUGUGUUUGCUGCUCUGGUAAUUUUGAGUAAAAAUGCAGUAUUCCAGGUAUCAGAAACGAAAACACAUGGAAACUGCUUUUAAACUUUAAAAUAUACUGAAAACAUAAGGGACUAAGCUUGUUGUGGUCACCUAUAAUGUGCCAGAUACCAUGCUGGGUGCUAGAGCUACCAAAGGGGGAAAAGUAUUCUCAUAGAACAAAAAAUUUCAGAAAGGUGCAUAUUAAAGUGCUUUGUAAACUAAAGCAUGAUACAAAUGUCAAUGGGCUACAUAUUUAUGAAUGAAUGAAUGGAUGAAUGAAUAUUAAGUGCCUCUUACAUACCAGCUAUUUUGGGUACUGUAAAAUACAAGAUUAAUUCUCCUAUGUAAUAAGAGGAAAGUUUAUCCUCUAUACUAUUCAGAUGUAAGGAAUGAUAUAUUGCUUAAUUUUAAACAAUCAAGACUUUACUGGUGAGGUUAAGUUAAAUUAUUACUGAUACAUUUUUCCAGGUAACCAGGAAAGAGCUAGUAUGAGGAAAUGAAGUAAUAGAUGUGAGAUCCAGACCGAAAGUCACUUAAUUCAGCUUGCGAAUGUGCUUUCUAAAUUAUAAAGCACUUGUAAAUGAAAAAUUUGAUGCUUUCUGUAUGAAUAAAACUUUCUGUAAGCUAGGUAUUGUCUCUACAAAAUUCUCAUUGUAUAGUUAAACCACAGUGAGAAGGGUUCUAUAAGUAGUUAUACAAACCAAGGGUUUAAAUACCUGUUAAAUAGAUCAAUUUUGAUUGCCUACUAUGUGAACUCACUGUUAAAGGCACUGAAAAUUUAUCAUAUUUCAUUUAGCCACAGCCAAAAAUAAGGCAAUACCUAUGUUAGCAUUUUGUGAACUCUAAGGCACCAUAUAAAUGUAACUGUUGAUUUUCUCACUUGGUGCUGGGUACUAGGUUUAUAAAAUUGUAUGAUAGUUAUUAUAUUGUGCAAAUAAAGUAGGAAAAUUUGAAUAACAAUGAUUAUCUUUUGAAUACGCAUACGCAAGGGAUUGGUUGUCUGAAGAAUGCCACUAUAGUAGUUAUCUAUUGUGUGCCAAUCUCAUUGCUAGGCAUUGGGGAUGCAAAGAUAAACCAUCUUUAUUGUGUCUUGGGUAGCAGAAGAAAAUAUGUGUAAAAUCAAUUUAUAAUUUGUAAACUGCCACCCAUAUAUAAGCUAUAUCUGCUGAAUGAUCAUUGAUUACUCUUAUCCUUAGAGAUAACAACUGGGGGCACAAACAUUUAUUAUCAUUAUUGAACCUACAACAGAGAUCUAUGUGUAGAUUUACAAAGCCUACAGUUCUAUACAGAUAGGAAUGAACUAUUGGCUUACUGAAUGGUGAUUACUUUCUGUGGGGCUCGGAACUACAUGCCCUAGGAUAUAAAAAUGAUGUUAUCAUUAUAGAGUGCUCACAGAAGGAAAUGAAGUAAUAUAGGUGUGAGAUCCAGACCAAAAGUCAUUUAACAAGUUUAUUCAGUGAUGAAAACAUGGGACAAAUGGACUAAUAUAAGGCAGUGUACUAAGCUGAGUAGAGAGAUAAAGUCCUGUCCAGAAGAUACAUGCUUCCUGGCCUGAUUGAGGAGAUGGAAAAUUUUUGCAAAAAACAAGGUGUUGUGGUCUUCCAUCCAGUUUCUUAAGUGCUGAUGAUAAAAGUGAAUUAGACCCACCUUGACCUGGCCUACAGAAGUAAAGGAGUAAAAAUAAAUGCCUCAGGCGUGCUUUUUGAUUCAUUUGAUAAACAAAGCAUCUUUUAUGUGGAAUAUACCAUUCUGGGUCCUGAGGAUAAGAGAGAUGAGGGCAUUAGAUCACUGACAGCUGAAGAUAGAAGAACAUCUUUGGUUUGAUUGUUUAAAUAAUAUUUCAAUGCCUAUUCUCUGCAAGGUACUAUGUUUCGUAAAUUAAAUAGGUCUGGCCCAGAAGACCCACUCAAUUGCCUUUGAGAUUAAAAAAAAAAAAAAAAAGAAAGAAAAAUGCAAGUUUCUUUCAAAAUAAAGAGACAUUUUUCCUAGUUUCAGGAAUCCCCCAAAUCACUUCCUCAUUGGCUUAGUUUAAAGCCAGGAGACUGAUAAAAGGGCUCAGGGUUUGUUCUUUAAUUCAUUAACUAAACAUUCUGCUUUUAUUACAGUUAAAUGGUUCAAGAUGUAACAACUAGUUUUAAAGGUAUUUGCUCAUUGGUCUGGCUUAGAGACAGGAAGACAUAUGAGCAAUAAAAAAAAGAUUCUUUUGCAUUUACCAAUUUAGUAAAAAUUUAUUAAAACUGAAUAAAGUGCUGUUCUUAAGUGCUUGAAAGACGUAAACCAAAGUGCACUUUAUCUCAUUUAUCUUAUGGUGGAAACACAGGAACAAAUUCUCUAAGAGACUGUGUUUCUUUAGUUGAGAAGAAACUUCAUUGAGUAGCUGUGAUAUGUUCGAUACUAAGGAAAAACUAAACAGAUCACCUUUGACAUGCGUUGUAGAGUGGGAAUAAGAGAGGGCUUUUUAUUUUUUCGUUCAUACGAGUAUUGAUGAAGAUGAUACUAAAUGCUAAAUGAAAUAUAUCUGCUCCAAAAGGCAUUUAUUCUGACUUGGAGAUGCAACAAAAACACAAAAAUGGAAUGAAGUGAUACUCUUCAUCAAACAGAAGUGACUGUUAUCUCAACCAUUUUGUUAAAUCCUAAACAGAAAACAAAAAAAAUCAUGACGAAAAGACACUUGCUUAUUAAUUGGCUUGGAAAGUAGAAUAUAGGAGAAAGGUUACUGUUUAUUUUUUUUCAUGUAUUCAUUCAUUCUACAAAUAUAUUCGGGUGCCAAUAGGUACUUGGUAUAAGGUUUUUGGCCCCAGAGACAUGGGAAAAAAAUGCAUGCCUUCCCAGAGAAUGCCUAAUACUUUCCUUUUGGCUUGUUUUCUUGUUAGGGGCAUGGCUUAGUCCCUAAAUAACAUUGUGUGGUUUAAUUCCUACUCCGUAUCUCUUCUACCACUCUGGCCACUACGAUAAGCAGGUAGCUGGGUUUUGUAGUGAGCUUGCUCCUUAAGUUACAGGAACUCUCCUUAUAAUAGACACUUCAUUUUCCUAGUCCAUCCCUCAUGAAAAAUGACUGACCACUGCUGGGCAGCAGGAGGGAUGAUGACCAACUAAUUCCCAAACCCCAGUCUCAUUGGUACCAGCCUUGGGGAACCACCUACACUUGAGCCACAAUUGGUUUUGAAGUGCAUUUACAAGUUUCUGGCAUCACUACCACUACUGAUUAAACAAGAAUAAGAGAACAUUUUAUCAUCAUCUGCUUUAUUCACAUAAAUGAAGUUGUGAUGAAUAAAUCUGCUUUUAUGCAGACACAAGGAAUUAAGUGGCUUCGUCAUUGUCCUUCUACCUCAAAGAUAAUUUAUUCCAAAAGCUAAGAUAAAUGGAAGACUCUUGAACUUGUGAACUGAUGUGAAAUGCAGAAUCUCUUUUGAGUCUUUGCUGUUUGGAAGAUUGAAAAAUAUUGUUCAGCAUGGGUGACCACCAGAAAGUAAUCUUAAGCCAUCUAGAUGUCACAAUUGAAACAAACUGGGGAGUUGGUUGCUAUUGUAAAAUAAAAUAUACUGUUUUG